UACGUAGGGGGCUAGCGUUGUCCGGAAUCAUUGGGCGUAAGGAGCGUGUAGGCGGCCCGGUAAGUCCGCUGUAAAAGUCAAAGGCUCAACCUUUGAAUGUCAGUGGAUACUGCCGGGCUAGAGUCCGGAAGAGGCGAGUGGAACUCCUGGUGUAGCGGUGGAAUGCGCAGAUAUCAGGAGGAACACCAACGGCGAAGGCAGCUCGCUGGGACGGUACUGACGCUGAGGCGCGAAAGCGUGGGGAGCGAACAGG
rnacentral:rRNA from 1 species